rnacentral:rRNA from 1 species
AGCUCCAAUAGCGUAUAUUAAAGUUGUUGUGGUUAAAAAGCUCGUAGUUGGAUCUCAGUCUGCACUGGUCGGUGCGUCCUUGUGGCGCUACUGUCGAGUCAGACACUUGCCAUCGUCGUGUCGCAGUGCCCUUAGUCGGGUGUUGUUGGCCGGUUGGCUGUUUACUUUGAAAAAAUUAGAGUGCUCAAAGCAGGCAUCCGCCUGAAUAAUGUUGCAUGGAAUAAUGAAAUAGGACUUUGGUUCUAUUUUGUUGGUCUUCGGAGCCGAGGUAAUGAUUAAGAGGGACAGACGGGGGCAUUAGUAUUGCGACGCUAGAGGUGAAAUUCUUGGACCGUCGCAAGACUAACUAAAGCGAAAGCAUUUGCCAAGAAUGUUUUCA